GUCACUUCCUUGCAAUUCCAAAGCACUGACUGUCAUAUUAUCACCCCUAUGAGCCAAUCUGUGGAACACAGCCAUCAGGUGCGCAAACACAUGCUAAAUUGCUUACAGUCUUUUA